CAGCGGCCGCAACCCGCGCGGCGCCGCCGCCUCUCGCCUCUGCUUCGCCCUUCUCCUCGGGAGCAGGAGAGCUCCGCUGCCGGCUUCGUGGUCCCGCAGGUGUACGUCCGCCCUUGUCUGUGUACGGCUGCGUCCCUUCCUAUCGAGUGACUAGCGUGCCAUAAAUCUGCCAUAGGUCUCGUGAAUCUCUCCUCGUUGCCAUGGGUAGCUGUAUUUUGAGACGUUUAGAAGCUGUAGUAGCCUUUUCUACCUGCACCUUAACGAUUUUCUGUGUCUCGAAAUUGAAAUAUUUACCAAGCCACUCUAAAAUUUGAUUUGUACUGAAAGUGGCCCGAUUAUUUGUGUAAUAGCGACGAGAAAAAUCAUCUGGGAAGAUACAAAACCUAAUAUAUUUUUGUAUUUAGUUAUAGUUUCCAGUAUGUAUAAUCGGUAUAUUCGCUGAUCUGAGAAAAGAAGGGAAGGGCUACUGCAGCUUUAAAAGCAAUUUAUUAAUGACUGUAAAAUAGCUUGUAUAGUGUAUAAUAAGGAUGAUUUUUAGAUGACAGAUUGCUUUAUCAUGAUACAUGUAAUUAUAUUUUUUGUAGGGGUCACGGAUGUGCUGAAUGGUAACCCGUGCCAGCCGUGCUUUGUCUGGAGGUAGUGCUGAAGGCACUGACAUUCAGCAUCCAAAGAAGUACUCUGUCAGAAAGAAACAAAAAGCAAACCUGUGUUCAGUGGCUGUUUCUAAGGUUGAAUUUGCAUUUCUCCAAUCACUGUGUCAGAGCGCAAGUCGGACCUUGGGCGGAACGCUCCCCUCCGCGCCUCCGCCUGAGCGGAUGGGCUCCCUUCGUAGACAGCCGCGCGCCGCAGCGAGAGCAGCUGGAAACAUUGGGCAAUAAUAUGCAUCAGCAGAGAAUUAACUACAGUGAAUGUGAACAAAUCGUUGUCGUCGCGAGAGAGGCGGUAACUGAGGAGAGGAAAGGAGAGGAGAGGCUGCCGCCCCUCUGCUCCGUGUGCCUGCAGGUUCCUUUCGGUUCGCGAGCGUAAGGAAAGAAGGCAGCUGUGGUGUUCGGAGGUGGCAUCCACGCUGCACGCGCUGUUGAGUUUGAAGCGUCACGGUUACAAACGCGUCGUGUUUGGUGAGCAGUGAGGAGUACGCGUGGUGUGUGUCAUAGUCCUGUAGCACUGGGCAGUAUCUGCACUCUGGGUAAAGCAGGGAGAAUGGCGACUUGUGUCCCUUCAGUGCCUUAUCACGGUGCGUGCGUCCGCGCGGGGCGUCGCGCUCGGGGCUGCACGGGGCGACAGGAGCGGCCUUAAGGAGGGCAGCGGGGAUGCGCCGGGGGCCGGUGCCGUGUUGGGCUUCAAAACGCCCUUGCCCUUUUUGCUACGACAGGUCAGGAAUAGGAGGAAGUGCCUGGGUGAGGGUCAGCCCGCUCCCGCUCCGUAGCGCUGGGCGAGGGCUGGGGCCGCGGCUCUGGGGGAGCGCCGUCGGCGUGCCGCGGCCCGGCACCGCGCAGACCCUGCGGCUGCUUUCGGUGUCACAUAGGAACCAAACGCUGGGGGAAGGAGCGGAGCCGCUCCCGAGGAUGGGAGGCGUGGGUGCUGGGGAGGCUGAGCGCGAAACACCCCGCCUCCACCAAGCGCGGGACAGCUGCGUCGGCCGUGUGUCAGUACUCUAUUUUGUAUAUUCAAAGAAAGAUAUAUAACGGGGACAAAUCCUAUAUCGUACCGGUGUAUGGCAUUAUUACAAAAAAAAAUCAUUAUUUUUAUCACAGUAAUUUUAAACAGCAUAAAAAAAUAAAAUUAAACCAGUGACUCCUGUUUAAAAAUGAAAGUUGUAGUUUUUUAUUCAUGCUGAAUAAUUCUGUAGUAACAAGUCUGUAGUUUUCACCGACUCAGUGAAAUGUUGGACUGUAAAAGCUUGUGUGGAAUUGUUGAGCAUUUAUUUUUUCAUUUAAAUUUGCUGUUCUGGUAAUACAAAGCCACACAUCUGUACAGAAGUUGCAGUAAAUGUGAGCCAUUUACAGCAAUGCCGAGUAAUGGACAGAAACCAUACAAUAAAAUUCUGCUUUUUUCAUUAAA